UUUUUUUUUUUUUUUUUUUUUGGUGGCUGCCUUCAUUUGCUUUUUCAUAACAGAAUAUUGCUUGUAUUGGAGCUGGUAUGUGCAGUCCUAAAUAUAUAAUUUCCUGUGUGGCAGGGCUCAGGAGGCAGCUCUCAAUUAAUGUGUUUUCACACCACCCCUCUGAUUUUGGGUGAGCAGCCACCCUGCCUUAUUUGCAGGUGAGGAGCUGGAGACCCUUAUAAAUGGAUAGUGGAGUAUGAAAGUAAGUGGCUUUCACUUAACUAAGUGACUUUGUUGUUUGCUCUGAAUUUCCUGUGUACUAACAUAGGCCAUGCUGUGUUCCAGGAGGGUGCUCUAGGUAAAAUGCCUCUCAGAAUGAGACAAGGUGAUGACUUCGGAGUGGCUCCAGGGCCUUUUGUGUUUUGGGGCAAAUGGAGACUUUGGCUGGUGUGUCACAACCUUCUGCCUUUGCUUUUGUCAUAGAAAGAAACAAUCCUAAUUUGGGAAGAAAAACUCAAAAACAUGAUCACUCUUUAUUCAUUGUUAAAUUCUUGGGAUGGUUGUGCAUUCAAAACCCCUUGAGUAUUGGACAGGAAUUUGUGCUACAAAACAGUGGUGGGAUUUUCAGUUUUGAGCAGGAAGAGUUGGGGGUCAGUGUUUAGAGUGAAGUCUCUCAGCAAGCCAGGGGCCAAGAGAGUCAGUGUUACAAAGAAGCUGUUGUCUUUGACAGAGGGCUUCUGGAGCCUAGCUGUCUGAAAAUAAUUAGCCAAAUAAAUUAGGUGUGCUCCAUGCUAAGUAAUUCCGACAUUUGGCUUCCUAGGGGAAGGGAUAAUGUACAUACAGAGAUACCUCAGCUUGUCCUUUGUCCCUGGGAGGGGGCACCACGGAGAAGAUGGGGGCUGUUCUUUGCACAGGUAGUGACAGGCAGGAGAAGCUCUCGAAGCCUUUUGCUGACCAUGUGAUGGGGGUGAAUCCCCCAGUGGAUGGUGAGUGGGCAGAGCUGUCCUUCCCUGUGCAAGAAUGUCCUGCCACUGAGGGCAUGUUUGACUGCAGACUGGUGAUGAACGGCUGUAAAAAUUCCAUUCCAUGCAGGUGUGCUCCAUCAUGUUGGUGCAGGCACGGUAUGGGGCUCAUACAGGAGCUCCCAGAGUUGUGGGACUGUCCUGAGAGGUGCUGGUUAGAAAUGAGAGGGAGACAAGAGUGCCUUGGGCAACAGCUGAGCUGUAUCACUGCCACAUCCUUGUUUCCUGUCCUUUCUUUCACUCUGUUGUUAUUUAAAGUGCAUCCCAUGCAUCUCCUGGUGUUAUAUUAGCUGCUCCUUUCCUGAGAGGGGCUGGCAGUAGCAUCUUUGGGCCCACAUUCCUGUGCUGGUUUUCUCUCUCAAAAAGCAGUGGGAAUUUCAGCUUUUUGACCACUUUUAUAAUCCAGCAUUGCAGAGGUGCUCGCUGGUCACCCUCCCACUGGAGCCAUGCUCACCCCUUAGGGCUUUCACAGAGUGUUUUAAUCCUGCUGCAGGAUGGGAGCAGAGCAGGUUUUUUGGAGCCUGGAUGGGAGAGAGAUGCAGGUGGCAGCCAGCCAGAGGAGCCAGGUUUGUAUGUGGGUUUUGCACUGCAUCCUCCAAGUGUUCACAGCAAUCAGAAAUGAAUUUGCAGCCUCUGGAAGGGAGAAACUUCCCCCAUUAUGAUUUUGGCACCAUUGCACUGCAUAGGGUGGUUUGCUCCCUUCCUCAGUGUCCUGCCCUUGCUGCUCACACAUGCAGCAUUAAAGAAUCAGGAAUCCCAGCUGUGAGGAGUUGUUAAACCCAUAGUUCUGAGGUGCAUGGAAAACUUGAGUAAAGCAAUGACCAAACCUAUAUAUUUAUCCUAUCUCAAUGAAUGGAGGAAGCAAUGGGCUCCACCCUUGGUUUUCAAAAGCAUUAAAGGGAGAAAAAAGCCCACUAACACACAAAACCCCUCCAGCCCACCAUGGGCUGCACAUGCCCAGGAGCAGACGGGACCAUGGCCUGGAGCUGAGCACAGGAACAGUCCUGGCUGUGAUGGACCCAGACUCCUAUGAAAGGGAGCAGUGAAAUGGUGUCUCCACCAUGAGAGUGAGAAUCCAGGCUCUGUGCAAAGUCCCUUUCCUCCAGGAAGACAGGGAUUUCCAGGACCUGUGUAAGGAGCCCCGAGGCUGUGGUGGUACAGCUGCCUGCAGCACUGGCAGUGCCUCAGCUAAUCCUGCUCAGUGAAUUCCUGGCUCUCCUCUUCUGGGCCCUGCACUGAGACAGCAGCGUGGUUUUAAUGAGAGCACAAAAGUUAAAACUGGGGUUUUUCUACUUUUAAAAAUUAGUGGCAGACUGUGGCUGUUCAGGUUGCUAUUUUAACUGCUCCAGAUGUCAAGCAUGGCUCAGCCAAGAUCAAUGCGUAAUCCGAAGGAAAUACUAUUAAUUUCAAAGGAAUGUGGUCAAUAUUUAAAUAUUUUGGAUCUUUUUAACAUGUAGCCAGUGGUAGUGGUCUAACUGGGCUUAUUAACUCUGCUUUUGGAGCAGUGAUUCUAUUAGCAUGAAUUAAUGUCUAUUAACAUUAUCGAUUUCCAUUUAUUUUAAUGUGAGCACAUAACGAUACUGGUUAUUUUAGAUAUUCUCUGAGGCUGUACUGGGUCAGGAGCUGUUGGUUUAAGGCCUGAUCCCACAAGCUUUUAUCCUUCCAGUUCCUAUUUAAGCUCUGACUUAGCUCCAAGCCUGUAGAGUGGCUCCUGCUGACUCCAGCAGCAGUUGGGUUGAGCCUGCUCCGCUCCUGCUUCAUCCAGCCCCAGCGGCUUCAGCUCCAGCUGCACAGAGGCUUUGCUUGUCCCUGCAUGGCCAGGGUGGAUUUAACCCCUGGAGCACACCAGUAGCCACUGAAAUAUCCCCUCUGCUUUACCUGCACAUACAGUGGGAGCCAAUCUUGGCUCUUACACCCAGCAGCAGUGAGUGGGUUGAACCUGGUCUAUAUAUUAAAUUCUAUUUCUAAAUGAAGCCCAGGUAGACCCAUUUUCCCCCCCCCCCUCCUUCUUUGACUUUUUAUGCCUAUUAAAUGUAUAAAGCACUUAGAAGGCAAAGGGUUUGUAAUGAGUAACAGAGUCUUCUUGAAUGUUUUGUUAAAGGUAUGGAAAAUACAGAAAGCUUUGAGAAAAAAAUUUCCUUUAGAUUGAGUGGAAGAACAACUUAAAAUAACAGUUGGGGAAUGAGCUAGAAGUGGGCCCAUUUUUCAACAAAACACGGAGUCCAUAACUCAUCAUUUUCUUAACAAAAUAUCUGAUUUCAAUAGCUGUUGGAAUAUUUUCCUUGUAGAGGUCACACAUUUUUAGUGGAAGACGUGUCAUUUUUUUUUGUUAAAAACAUUUUUAAAAGCCAAAUUAUUCCCCCUUAAAAAAAAGUUUUAAAUUACUGGUGAAAUUACAGAAAAGUUGCAUAAGAAGAAGAUUAUGAACAGCCCAGAUAUAAUUUUUUUUUAAUUAGGCACUCAGGAAAAAAGAAAACCAAAAACCUAAAAUGCCACAGAUUUUAGUCUGCGUCAGAGAAUGCUCUCAUUAAAAGGAAACCUUCAGCUCCUUUGUCUGAAGAAACCUCACCCUUUGUUAAUGUUUAAGAGAAAUGGUUCUAGUUACUGAGAGUGUUUGCCUUGCUCAAAAAAAAUGUUUAUGUGGGAGAUGUUUUACAUUUGAGUGACGCCAGAGAGCCAAAAUGUGAAGCUGUAUUGGCAGUAAUGACCACGGGCUCAUGUAGCUGGAAAAAUUCAGCUGAAAGCCUUUGGGGAAAGGGGAGGAUUUCCCCUCCCACUCCAGGCAAGUGGGAUAUCUGGACAAGGCCAAGCUCUUUUUGGGUGGAAAUAUCUGGGGCAGGGCUGGUGCCAUCGCCCUGGCCGAGGGCACAUCUGGGCUGCACAUCUGGGGCGCUGCACACCUGUGGCUCUGUGCUGUUUCUGCCUGCAUGCACUAGAUGGCAUUGCCAACUUGGCUACAGGGGCUGUGGGCUCCCCUGGGCUCGGGGGGAGCACCAGCAGCUGCUGGGAUCGUUUGUGGGUUUUUACUCCUGAAGGUGUGGUAGUAGGGAGAGCAGGAUGGAGCUGGCAUGGGCAGCUCAGUGCCUGGCACUGCGAAGCUGCAGCCGUGGCUGAAGCCCACGGUGUGCCCGUCCUGGGACCUGCCUUUGGGCACCGAGCACACAGCAAGAAAUGGUCUUUGCUGCCACCACCAACUGCUACAAAUGAGGUGGGCAAAUACGAGAAAGGCCAGGUCAGUGGGAUAUGAAGGAGAAACCUGAAUACCAGGGACAUCAGGAGUUCAGCAGCGCCUCUUGAUUCCUCAUUCAGGCUGUUUAUUCCCUUUUGUUGUCUCCAGUGAGAGCCUUGCCCCUGUCCUCCCUGUCCCAGUUUCUCCCCUGGCUGUGCCUGCUGGGCUGGGAUCAGUAACACUGAAGCUGAACAGAAAGCUGUGAGAAGAGGGUGCACCUGAGGGGUUGUGACCUGGUUCCUUGUCUACAGCAGCUGGCACCGAAUGCCUGAAAAGCAUGAAAGCAUGCCAAAAAUGGAGGAAUUGUAAUCCAGAGAGCCUUCCUAACCUGUCACUUGCUCCUUGAACUCUGAGCUGCUUUCUAAAGGCCAAAGAUGCGUUGCUGGUUUUUUUUUUUAUAGCACUACAUCCAGUUGUGGAGAGCAAACCAAGUCAAUAAAAUCAAGAAAGAGCGCUUGUGUUGGAUCUGCAGCACAGUCAUAUCCCUGAAAGCAGGAAGCACACCCCAGGGCAGGUUCUCCAGGCAGCUCUGGAAUGCUGAACAGUGUGGGAACAAGCAGCCAGGGUUGCUUGGAGCCCUUCUUGUGCUCCAAGAUUGUGAGCACCUCCUGCCCUGCCAGUGUCAGCCCCAAGGCUUCACUGGGACAAAUGUGUCAUUGUUUGCUAUCCUGCCUUGCAGUUUCUCUUGAAAGCUAAAUCCUGAGUAGCAUUCAAGUAAAACAGAGUUCCUGCUUUCCCAGAUGGCAGCCAGUGAGGAACACGCUCCCUUAGAAACGUCUGCCAUCUCCAUCUUGUGUCCUCAGGCGGGUUGACAGCUUGUUUUUCAUUUGGAGUUCCCCUCGCUUGCCUGGGGUGUCCUUCAGGGCACUGGUGUGUGGCUGCCAACAGAUCUAAUGAUCAGCAAAAUUAUUAUUUGUGUUGUGUUAGCAUCUCAAAGUAUCCUUGUGACUUUCCAUGCUGCUCGGCUACGUCAUCAGUGUUGGCACUGCAGAAAUGCUGAUGAAAAAUGUUCAGGGUAAAUCUCCCCCUGGUUCCUACUGGAACCUUCUAAAAACUAGUGAUAUGGGAGACUUCAUGAUGCAACACUUCCCUUUCAGAAUACUUCUCUCUGCAUGUAACUAAGAGCUUGUUUAUGGGGAGAGCUGCUCACACCACUUUGGGCAUUCAAGUUUCCAUGGAGAGGGACCUGGCUGCCUUUCCUGCCUGGGAGAUGCAAGGCUUGGAGUAGAGCUGCUCUUAGAAAAUGAAGCAUUUGUGCUCAGCUGAGCCUCCCGGAAAGAGGACUUGGCCUGUGUGUGUUGUUUGGGCCAUCACAGGACUGUUCAGUCUGCAAUUCUUGGUUUCAUGCCUUGUUUUGUAUGAGAUAUUUUGUAGGAGCUUUGGCAAGUCUCCUCUCCAUCUUUUACCCCCUCAGAGGUACAGGCAGAAAAGAGAGAGAACUAAGAUAGCUGCGAGCUGGAAGUGCUGCUGCAGGGCUCUGUACUCCCAUUAACCCCUGAUUUACUGCCCUGCACCAAUGGCCCCACCAGUGCCAUGUGUUGACAUUUCUGAUGGAUGAUGGCCAUUCUCUUGUCAACAUGAGCCACCCUUGUGUGCCAGAUCUUCUGCUUAGGAUUCUGAGCAAAAACUUGGUGGUUCAUAUUAUAAACCUGCGCUGAAAUUAAGUUUUGUUUCUCUUUUAGGCAAACAUUCUUUUAGGAGCCAAAAAUUCUGCCAUCAAAAUGUAUAUAAAUUUACUGUUGUCAACCUUUUUGACUAACAUGAAAUGCAACUCGCUUUUUGGUAUUCCUGCAGACCUGUGUCAUGGGACAUAUUGAGAGAACAUCUGUACCAGUGACUGGGAGGUGGACAGGAAAUGUGUAUUUUUACUGCUCACAUAGGAAAGAAAUCUCAUUAGAUUUAUGUGAUCUCAAACCAGUUAAGUUCCCUGUGCAAAACCCAGGCCUCCAGCAGUGCAGCCUGUAUCUUUAAGACAAUGAAAAAUAAACCACCAGCAUCUGUAAUGUCCUUUUUAAUGGGAUGAAUUAGGAAGAAUGUGCAUGGACACAAUCCUAGAAACUACUCUAAGCAUAAGUGAUUGGAGAAGGAGGGUAGGAGAGCUUAUAAUUCUUCAACUUUGUUAAAGAAGCUGGUUAUGUGCAUGCAUGACUGGGAAUGCCAGUCUCCACACAUGCUGAUUACUACAGAUGCUCCAAGUAGUGUUCAUCUGCCAGGUAAACAAGUGAGAUACUCAUAUUUACAAUUGCAAUUGCCUGAGUGUUCAUCUGGCCCUCACUCUGCCAGGCUGGACUUUCAUUGCAUGUUACUCACCAUCAGUGGCUUGAGAAAAUCUCUUUACAAGACUGUCUUUGGAGCUGGCAGGGCCACAUGUGACUCCAUUUGGAAAAGCAGGUUAGAAACUCUUCCCAAAGGUCUGACCCUGAGCUCUCUGUUUAACUCGGGCAAUUCCCAGUAAGGUCUUUCCCAGCCAGGAAAGCUGGGAAAGCUGUUCUAGUAGCACAGGCUUAUUUGUACUGAUUUUUAGUGAUGCAUUACAUUUCUGCUGUUCUGAAAGGGUAUAAAACUGCAUCAUUCUCAGAAGAUAGAAAAACACUUCACUGCUUUGCUAUGGUUGUGAUUUUGUGUUGAGGGGUAGUGUCCAUUUGCUACUAAACAAUGUCCCACCCUUAUAGGCAGGGUUUCUAAAUUGGGGAGCUAGAGCAGAUCUUUGCCCUUCUGGCACUAAAAUUAAAGAGAAAAGAGGUCUGAUCACAGACUAUUCAUUUCUAAGAGCAAUCUCCAAAAAUGAAGUAGUAAUGUGUACAUUAUCCCAGUAAUGAGCAAACCUGCAAGUCCAGCUUGCAAACUGGCAGUCAGAGGUUCCUGAUGCCAUAUGCCUGCAGAAGGUAUUCCUUUUUUGUGCUUUUUUUCACCUGUAUCAGUAUGAUUAACUCUGUUGUAAGUGAGAGCCAGCUCUAUCUGAAUUUGGGGGUUGAUGUUAGUGCUUUCAUAACAGACUUAAUACCUAAAAGUAUGUUUUAGGGUAUGCUCAAGACACGAUCUGUCUUCCUGUAUGUGAGCUCAGUCUCAGAAUUACAGCUAAACCUCUGCAGUUUAGAAUCUAGGUGAAGGUUUGAUUAUCUAGGAAGAAAAAAAAAA
ensembl:lncRNA